AAUUUUUUUAUAACCAUUUUUUAGUACUUCACUUAGGAUGAUAUGCCAUCUUUUUAUUUAUCCGAUUUACCGCGAUUAACCUUCAGAUAGUGUGUAGUGAUAAUAAUGUUAAGAUAUCCCGCGGUAGACGGAGCAGUUUAUAUGAUUAUUCAACUAAAAAUAUAUGUUGAAAAUGAUUACAAUCAAAUUUAAAACAUUUCAAUACAAAUAUAAAGAGAAAUUGGAAGGAAUAAUAAAUUAUACUAGUUUAUUUUUGCAUUUAUUUAUUAGACUAGAAAUAUCACUAUAUACAUUGAUUAAAUUUCACUGCAGAUUCAAGUUUUCUCCACCUUCAUUUCACAUGUCUCCUUGAAU